rnacentral:rRNA from 1 species
GGUUAGUGCAAUGGCAUAAGCCCGCUUGACUGCGAGAAUGACAAUUCGAGCAGGUGCGAAAGCAGGUCAUAGUGAUCCGGUGGUUCUGAAUGGAAGGGCCAUCGCUCAACGGAUAAAAGGUACUCCGGGGAUAACAGGCUGAUACCGCCCAAGAGUUCAUAUCGACGGCGGUGUUUGGCACCUCGAUGUCGGCUCAUCACAUCCUGGGGCUGAAGUCGGUCCCAAGGGUAUGGCUGUUCGCCAUUUAAAGUGGUACGCGAGCUGGGUUUAGAACGUCGUGAGACAGUUCGGUCCCUAUCUGCCGUGGGCGUUGGAAGAUUGAAGGGGGCUGCUCCUAGUACGAGAGGACCGGAGUGGACGAACCUCUGGUGUUCGGGUUGUGUCGCCAGACGCAUUGCCCGGUAGCUAAGUUCGGAAUCGAUAACCGCUGAAAGCAUCUA